rnacentral:rRNA from 1 species
UGGGGAAUAUUGGACAAUGGGGGGAACCCUGAUCCAGCCAUGCCGCGCGUGUGAAGAAGGCCUUAUGGUUGUAAAGCACUUUAAGCGAGGAGGAGGCUCUUCUAGUUAAUACCUAGGAUGAGUGGACGUUACUCGCAGAAUAAGCACCGGCUAACUCUGUGCCAGCAGCCGCGGUAAUACAGAGGGUGCGAGCGUUAAUCGGAUUUACUGGGCGUAAAGCGUGCGUAGGCGGCUUUUUAAGUCGGAUGUGAAAUCCCCGAGCUUAACUUGGGAAUUGCAUUCGAUACUGGGAAGCUAGAGUAUGGGAGAGGAUGGUAGAAUUCCAGGUGUAGCGGUGAAAUGCGUAGAGAUCUGGAGGAAUACCGAUGGCGAAGGCAGCCAUCUGGCCUAAUACUGACGCUGAGGUACGAAAGCAUGGGGAGCAAACAGG